CGUGUAGGCGGUCGGGUAAGUCAGAUGUGAAAGCCUUCCGCUCAACGGAAGAAGUGCAUUUGAAACUGCUCGGCUGGAGUACGGGAGAGGAGAGUGGAAUUCCCGGUGUAGAGGUGAAAUUCGUAGAUAUCGGGAGGAACACCAGUGGCGAAGGCGGCUCUCUGGUCCGAUACUGACGCUGAGACGCGAAAGCGUGGGGAGCAAACAGGAUUAGAUACCCUGGUAGUCCACGCCGUAAACGAUGGGCACUAGGUGUAGGAGGUAUUGACCCCUUCUGUGCCGAAGUUAACGCAUUAAGUGCCCCGCCUGGGGAGUACGGCCGCAAGGCUAAA
rnacentral:rRNA from 1 species